AAGUCGUAACAAGGUUUCCGUAGGUGAACCUGCGGAAGGAUCAUUAACACGUAUCUCACGUAUCUACCUCUUGUGAAUUUAUUUUGAAUGUUUAGUAGUUUCCGUCACAGAUAUGACUGAGGAAGCAGAUGACCAUGUUAAAUUUGACUCCCUUUUCGGAGGGAGGAAGAUUUGUUCUGCUUGCCUAUCCUCCUUUUAGCUGAGUGAUUAUCUCUCGAGAUAAUCAUACUCCUUGAGGUGGGUAUCUGUGAUAAACUCGAAUCAUGGUGGUAUUAUUAUUAACCCCUUUUUUUUAUACUUGUCUUAGUGAGUGUCUCUAUCGUGGAAUUAGUCAGUUUCGACUGACUUAACGAAGCGAUCGAACCUCCCAAAAAUAACUAUUAUACAACUCUUAGCAACGGAUAUCUCGGUUCU
rnacentral:misc_RNA from 1 species